CCAGUCUGUUGCCAUUUUGAAAGGAAGCAGGAAGUACUGGCGAGGACCUCCGCAAUGAGACCGCUGCUGUUGCAAAGCUCUGGUAGUGUCUUGCGGACAGUUUUAGGGUUAUUUUCCACUUGUGGACACAACGUCACCCGACCAGCCGCUGUGCCUCAUUUGUACUCUUCAAGAAAAAUGAUGCACUAUCAAACGGUGGAGCGAGGAAGCCCCAACACUCCAAAUUACCGGGUUUAUUUUAAAAACUCAGAAGGCAACUACAUUUCUCCUUUCCAUGAUAUUCCACUGAUAACAGAGGCAGAACAGCAGGAUUUGCCAGCAAAGAAGGCAAAAAAGAGCGCGGUGCUCUUCAACAUGGUCGUGGAGGUACCUCGGUGGUCAAAUGCAAAGAUGGAGAUCGCAACACAGGAACCUCUGAAUCCCAUCAUGCAAGAUGUGAAGAAAGGCAAGCUCCGAUAUGUCGCCAACAUAUUUCCUCAUAAAGGUUACAUUUGGAACUAUGGAGCCAUCCCACAGACGUGGGAGGACCCCAACCAUACCGACUCGGAAACAAAAUGCUGUGGCGAUAACGAUCCCAUAGACGUCUGUGACAUUGGUACACAGGUGUGCUCCAUUGGGCAGGUCAUCCAAGUGAAAGUGCUCGGAAUUUUGGCAAUGAUUGACGAAGGCGAAAUGGACUGGAAAGUCAUCGCUAUCAAUGCAGAAGACCCUGAUGCCAAAAACUUAAAUAACAUAGACGAUGUCCGUAAGAGCCGACCCGGUCAUUUAGAGGCCACUGUGGACUGGUUCAGGAAAUACAAAGUUCCUGAUGGGAAACCCGAGAACCAAUUUGGAUUCAAUGCGCAAUUCAAAGAUAAGGACUUUGCUGUUGAGAUGAUCAAGUCCACACAUGAGCACUGGAGGGCUCUAGUGCAAAAGGAGACGUAUAGUGGAGGGAUUGAAUGGUAACAUAGUAAAAAUAUAUCAUGCAGUGAAAGUCCUUUCAAAUGCAAAGCAGAAGAAGCCAGAUACGUGGUCCAAUUGACCCCUGAACUCAGUAGCGGUCAGUGUGUUCCUCCAGAAGUGGACAAGUGGCACUUUGUCUGACUGAGAAAACCUAAAGACAUCAUGGACACGAACAAAAAUAAAAUUGGAUCAUCCCAUCAAUCAGUAUCAACUUUGCUCUAGUUUUGAGAAGACAUAAUUGUCUGGUAAGGAUUUGUGGACACCUGUAUAAUAAGUUUGUUGUACAAUAACGCUCCAUGUAGCAUAUAGUAGUGCCUUGGAUUCCUUUGAUAAUAAUAACAAUAAUAUUGUUUCUGGAUUGGAUUUAUAUAGUGCUCAAAGUGCAUGACACUGAGAACCCAUAAUUUGUUUAAUAUUAUUCACAUAAUGAUGGUGUUGAGCUACAUUUGUAACCACAGCUGCUUUGGGGUAGAUUGAUGGAAACGUGGCUGCAAAUUUGCAGCAAAGGCCUCUCCGAUCACCAUCAACCAUUCAUUCAAAUUUAUGCACCAGUGUGGGUUGCACUGGAAGUAAGGUGGGUGAAGUGUCUUGCCUAAGGACACGACAGUGACAGGGAUGGCAGAAAGCUGUAUUUUUACCUGGAACCUCAAUAUUCUGGGCAGUUGCUCUACCAUCUGAGCCAGGCCGCCUCAUUCCAAAAGGUUAAACGAAGACCGAAUUGUACCUAAACUGGAAUAACUUUUUCCAUAACAAAUAUUAUAAAUGCAAUGAAUCCAUCCCAGUCACCCACAAAUAUUUGCAAAAACAAUGCAAAAAUAAAUCCUCUGUACUUUACUACAAGUUAUUUCUUGAUUUCAAUAGUGUUUCUCACUUUUAUUCAAGUUCGGGCAUUUGCAACAUUCUUUUUCCCCAUGGUUUUUUUUGGCAGUCAUACUUAAUUUUAAAAAUGCACGGAGACUGAGUCACUAUCACGUAGAAUUCUUUGUUUGGUAAAUUGAUUCUGCAGAAGGAUAGGCGCACAAAAGGUGGCGUUUGUUACGCCGAGUAGUGGGUCUAUCGCAUACGAAUACUGGGGUAACAUUUUGGCAAAUAUUUGCAUCGUUAUGUAGGGCUGUACUGUAUGUUGUCAUCUUUAUGAUGUGUAUCCAAUCAGAUGUCUUAGCAUUGUCAUGUUUUUCAUGCCAUUUCCUUUUGUUGGGACCAUUAUCUUUGCAAGCGGUUCAUCAAGAGCAUUUAAUCGUUUUUUAAAAUCUUUUAAUCCACAAGUACUCGUAGGCUGUUAUAAUAAGCAUUUUUUCACAAAAGAAUAAAGGGUCCCCAUUCCCUGAUUUCAAGAAUAGUUACAUGAAAACAGGGUCUUGAAUUUUCAGAAGCUCUUCAUUUCAAUUGUUGCUUUCUUAGUAAAAGACAGGAUGCGGACGUAAAUGUGACACAUGUGCAUUAGAGUAUUAAAGGAUCAUACACACACAAACACAUUCAAAACUAGGAUUAUAUUUAAAACACAGGCAGCACUGAUUUUUAUACAAGUCAAGUAGCUUUAAAUAAAUAUAAAUUUAUUGAAAAAAAGAUAAAACACCCAUAUCUUGGCAAUAUCAGGAAUGAUAUAUUAAUACCAGCUUUCCAAUAAACUGCAUUCAGUACAUUACAAUGCGUACAGUAUAAUACCUAUGCUUAGUUCAUUUUUUGGGAGCAUACCAAACUUCAGGACAACAAGGGGAGUCCAUUCAGAAAUAAAAACAGCAAAAUGUUUGACUUUUUUUCAACCUUUUGUGUCUGCGUGCCUUGUAUGAACUGUUCGCUUGAACAAGCAGUACUCAUAUUAUUCCCAAAAAGUUAUUCAAGUAAUGCUGAUUCAAAAGCGUUUUCAAGUAUGUCUCUACUUUUAUUUGUAUCCUGCUCUUAUUUUCAACCUCACCUGCUACUGUAGCUGGGCUCUGUACAAAGAAUCAUCAAUAUUGUGGACUAUACAAAACCAACAGUCCAAAAAAUAUAAAAAUUCAUUCAAUAUUAGAGCUAAUAAUAUUCUUUGACAUUAAACUUUGUGUCGACAGUGACUGUAUUAUUUACAAAGACUUCCUGGAAAAUGUGACUGUGUCCAUUUAGAUAACAUUAAAAAGGGCCAAAACGGAUAUUUAAAACAUGUUUAAGUAUGUUGGUUUACUUUACUUAGUUACUUUAUAGCCCAGUUUGACUUUACUAGAAGGUUGUCCUGAAAUGUAAAACCUUGCUAUGCACUGUAUAUUGUGACAUUUUUUUAUGUUUCUGAAACACAUUUACACCCAUUUUUAAAUAAAACAUGUUGUACUUUAUUACAUAAACAAUU